CCUACGGGAGGCUGCAGUGGGGAAUAUUGCACAAUGGGGGACACCCUGAUGCAGCGACGCCGCGUGAGUGAAGAAGUAUUUCGGUACGUAAAGCUCUAUCAGCAGGGCAGAAAAUGACGGUACCUGACUAAGAAGCCCCGGCUAACUACGUGCCAGCAGCCGCGGUAAUACGUAGGGGGCAAGCGUUAUCCGGAUUUACUGGGUGUAAAGGGAGCGUAGACGGCAGCGCAAGUCUGGAGUGAAAUCCCAUGGCUUAACCAUGGAACUGCUUUGGAAACUGUGCAGCUAGAGUGCAGGAGAGGUAAGCGGAAUUCCUAGUGUAGCGGUGAAAUGCGUAGAUAUUAGGAGGAACACCAGUGGCGAAGGCGGCUUACUGGACUGUAACUGACGUUGAGGCUCGAAAGCGUGGGGAGCAAACAGGAUUAGAUACCCGAGUAGUC
rnacentral:rRNA from 1 species